GGGAUAAGCCAUGAGCGCUGCGUUCGGCUGGAUAAGCCCCGAGCGCUCUCUUCCCCCUUUCCUCUCCCUCGUGCUCUCCUUUCCUCGCCGCCUCCUCUCCUCGUCGAACCAGCCGCCUCCUCCCCAUCUUCACGCGCAGCCUCCUCUCCCUCAAGCCCCUCCUCCUUCCCACCCGGGCUUCGCCUCUUCGGGCGGCGGGACGCAGUGGCUGUGGUGAUGGCAGAUGGGGCGACAACGGCGGCGCUCCUCCUCUGCCAUGGCCGAGGACGGCGGUGAGGGGCAAAGGGCGCUGUCGUUCUCCCCCCUCAGCGCGUGAGUCAGAGACGGACGAGGAGGCCGAGCAGUCCGUCAUGCCGUCAACGCAGUCCUCGCCUGCCAAGGUCUGGAUCCUCCUCCCCAUUCCCUCAUGGCGGCGCCUGGAUCCUCCUCCCUCUUCCCUUCCAUGGCGGCACACGGACCUGCCGCAUCUUCCUCAUCGUCAGUCCGAGGAAGAGGAGUGGCAGCAGCCAGACGCGCCUCGUCCGUGUCGCGUUGUGGCCCAGAUGCGUCCACCACGUGCUCUGCGGUGCCCGUCUCGCCCGUCUACGGCCGGAGAAGGAGGGGAGGACUGGAUGCCAGCCGAUCUGGAGGAAGAAGCGGAGACGCGGACCUCGCCUUCCUAUUGAAUUGCUUUUGUUUGUACAACAUGGAUUUUUCAAAAUUAGUUGCUUACAUUGUGAAUAAUUCUAUUAACUUUUAGUUCAAAAGAAUCUGCCGCAGUGUUAAGAGUUCUUUGUGAUGUUGCAUGAUGUUCUGAUUUUGAACUUGAACGUGCUAACUGAAUUUUGCAGUGCAAACUGAACUUUUCAAAUUAACUGAAUUAACUAAAGUUUAUGGAUUUCUCGAAAAGGUAAAGCACUACCUCAGUAUUUCUGUGUUAGAGGGUGCCCCUGUUGUUUCUUGGUAUCAUUACUAGCAAGUGCCAUAUGAGGUGUGUGUGCCUUGCCUGCCAUCAUGAUUCCUGAGGUGUGUGUUUACCUUUGUUUCAAGAAGGUAAACCACACAAAGGGAAUCUAUGUACCAUAAAAAAGAGGAUGUGCAUGUGUCUUGUAGGGUUGAUGGAUUGAUUGAGCACCACACAAAGUAAGUAGUUUGGGGAAAAGAAUGAUGUUGGACUACUAAAAUCAAAGAAAAUAUUCCAUGAAUUUUGACACUGGAAUGGCUUGUAAAUGGUGCAGUGCCAUCUUGUCUCUAGAACAGCUUAAAAAUGGUGUGCAGAGGUUUCUUAGUUCUUGUACUGCACCCCAUUUUUUAGAAAUUGAAACUACUCCAGUGUCCAGUGUUAGCUAAGAGCUAAGAUGAGUACAAGAAUUUUCUGUAGAGAUUGUUGCAAGGAGACAUCUCUAUCCAGUGUUAGCUAAGAGCUAAGAUGAGUACAAGAAUUUUCUGUAGAGAUUGUUGCAAGGAGACAUCUCUGUC
rnacentral:rRNA from 1 species